rnacentral:rRNA from 1 species
UGAGGAAUAUUGGUCAAUGGGCGAGAGCCUGAACCAGCCAAGUCGCGUGAGGGAUGAAUGUCUUAUAGAUUGUAAACCUCUUUUGUCGGGGAGCAAAGGACGCCACGUGUGGCGUGAUGAGAGUACCCGAAGAAAAAGCAUCGGCUAACUCCGUGCCAGCAGCCGCGGUAAUACGGAGGAUGCAAGCGUUAUCCGGAUUUAUUGGGUUUAAAGGGUGCGUAGGCGGAUCCUUAAGUCAGCGGUAAAAUCGUGCGGCUCAACCGCAUCAAGCCGUUGAAACUGGGGAUCUUGAGUGAGCGAGAAGUAUGCGGAAUGCGUGGUGUAGCGGUGAAAUGCAUAGAUAUCACGCAGAACUCCGAUUGCGAAGGCAGCAUACCGGCGCUCAACUGACGCUGAAGCACGAAAGCGUGGGUAUCGAACAGG